rnacentral:sRNA from 1 species
UUUUUUAAAAGAUUUUAUAAAUACUAAAUUAAUAUGACGUUGUGAAAUCUAACCGGAUUUUGGAUCCCGCCAUUUAACCAUGGUCAUUAACGAUUUCAC